AGAAUCAACGCUGGCGGCGUGCCUAACACAUGCAAGUCGAACGAGAAAGUGGAGCAAUCCACGAGUAAAGUGGCGCACGGGUGAGUAACACGUGACUAACCUACCCUUGAGUGGGGGAUAACCUAGGGAAACCUGGGCUAAUACCGCAUAAUACCUUCGGGUCAAAGGAGCAAUUCGCUUAAGGAGGGGGUCGCGGCCGAUUAGUUAGUUGGCGGGGUAAUGGCCCACCAAGACGAUGAUCGGUAUCCGGCCUGAGAGGGCGCACGGACACACUGGAACUGAAACACGGUCCAGACUCCUACGGGAGGCAGCAGUGGGGAAUUUUGCGCAAUGGGGGAAACCCUGACGCAGCAACGCCGCGUGGAGGAUGAAGCCCCUUGGGGCGUAAACUCCUUUCGAUCGGGACGAUAAUGACGGUACCGGAAGAAGAAGCCCCGGCUAACUUCGUGCCAGCAGCCGC
rnacentral:rRNA from 1 species